GAAUGUGAGAGCGAUCUGGCUGCGACAUCUGUCACCUCAUGGGUCACCAUGGUGGAUCUGGCUAAUCUGACUGGCUCAGCGGGUGUCCCCUUCCUCCCUCAGCACUCCAACUGCAUCCUUCCCAAAGCUGUCUAGGCACUUGGUAGAAGAGGACGAGCACCCCGGAUAAAGAAGGACUGUGUCUUCCACCAAGGGUAUAGAAGUAGCUGUGUUCCUGCUAGAACCUCCAAAAAAGCUCUCAAAAUAAACUUUCUCCUUUAACUUGUGGAUGUCAGGUACUGUGUCUCAACAAGAAAAGUAACCACGACAAAGGACAUUAUGAAGAAAGUGAGAAGAUCCUGU
rnacentral:snRNA from 1 species